AUAACAAAGUGAAAGCAGCAACAACAACAACAACACAAAAACAUUUGAAACAACAACAAAAACAUAGUCAACAAACAGCACGCUUGCCAUGAAGCCCGGUAGCAGCAUCAAUCCCACACGGCUCGUACAUCAUAGCGACGGUAAUUAAAAACUUCAAGUGUAAAUGAAUGAGUUUAAUGGACCAAGCCAGAAAGUGUAAGGAAACAAAGAGCGGAACUCUAAAUAUAAGUGAUUAAUACCAAAAUACCGUCGAUGCAAAUCAGCUGAUUUCUACAAUCAUUAAAGCAAGACGUCUUCAGCAUUACGAG